UACAGAGGCCCCAAGCGUUACUGAGAAUCACUGGGUUUAAAGGGUGCGUAGGUGGCGCGUUAAGUCCGUUGUGAAAUCCCUGGGCUCAACCCAGGAAUUGCUUCGGAUACUGGCGUGCUUGAGGCUAGUAGGGGUCACUGGAACUGACGGUGGAGCGGUGAAAUGCGUAGAUAUCGUCAGGAAGACCAGUGGCGAAGGCGAAUCUCUGGACAGUUACGUGACACUGAGGCACGA
rnacentral:rRNA from 1 species